CAGAAGGUAGUUAAAUUUAGAAUGCUAGCUUUGGGAGUUAGCGGUGGGAGUUGAAGUCUCUCCUUUCUGG
rnacentral:tRNA from 1 species